rnacentral:rRNA from 1 species
UCGGAAGGAAUAAUGUAUGCUACAAGGUUUCCGUAGGUGAACCUGCGGAAGGAUCAUUACAGUAUUCUUUUGCCAGCGCUUAACUGCGCGGCGAAAAACCUUACACACAGUGUCUUUUUGAUACAGAACUCUUGCUUUGGUUUGGCCUAGAGAUAGGUUGGGCCAGAGGUUUAACAAAACACAAUUUAAUUAUUUUUACAGUUAGUCAAAUUUUGAAUUAAUCUUCAAAACUUUCAACAACGGAUCUCUUGGUUCUCGCAUCGAUGAAGAACGCAGCGAAAUGCGAUAAGUAAUAUGAAUUGCAGAUUUUCGUGAAUCAUCGAAUCUUUGAACGCACAUUGCGCCCUCUGGUAUUCCAGAGGGCAUGCCUGUUUGAGCGUCAUUUCUCUCUCAAACCCCCGGGUUUGGUAUUGAGUGAUACUCUUAGUCGGACUAGGCGUUUGCUUGAAAAGUAUUGGCAUGGGUAGUACUAGAUAGUGCUGUCGACCUCUCAAUGUAUUAGGUUUAUCCAACUCGUUGAAUGGUGUGGCGGGAUAUUUCUGGUAUUGUUGGCCCGGCCUUACAACAACCAAACAAGUUUGACCUCAAAUCAGGUAGGAAUACCCGCUGAACUUAAGCUAUAG